UACAGCAUUUGGAGUUUUAUAGUUCAUCAUGUUGAAGUUAGUUAAGGAAAAAAGAAAAAAGGGUUAGUUUUUCAGUAGCAUGGUGUUGGUUGAGCUUAUAAAACGGCCCCUAUCAUUUUGGAUGGAUUUUAUCUGUAUUGUGGAUCUAAUUGUAAAUUUCAAGUCACACCAAAAUCUUUGAUCACCUCCACACCAUAUUGAUAAAAAGUAAAUCUACACAUUUGAUUUAUUCUUACAAUCAAGAAGUGAAAUAAUUGAGGAGCUCCUAUGGACUACAAUUACUAAAAGAAGGAAUAAAACACAAGUGAUCUCACCAAGCUACAAUUAUGUGGACAGGAAGAAUGAUAUGGGAGAAUCACAUCCUUCACACCACCCAUCUGUCCAACGUACACAGAGCAUGUCAUGGGUCCUGUCUCCCAAAAGUACUGUGCUAAGGACUGCAUGUGCAUUACCCAGCUGAAUACUUCUAAUAACCUUAUGAGAGAGAUAACAGCAUCCCCAUUAUCUAGACAAAGAAGGAGAAACUUUAAAAGGUAAAGUAACUGGCAAAAUGUUGGCCAGGCAAUAAGUCAAAUAAUGUACUCAAACUCAUGCCGUCUGAAUUCAGAGCCUCAAGUUGAAUUGUUUCGCCAUAGUCUCACAGAGGAUGGGAGCC